AUUGGUUAACCAUUUAUCAAGAGGUAGUUAAUACUGUAAUAUCUUGGUUUUUGGUCAAGAUUUCUGAUGUUUUCAAGUAGUUUGAGUGCUUUAAGGCAACAAAUAUAUCGCGGUAGUAUAUACAGAUCAAGAAAUAAAUUAAUUAUCUGUGUUUUGAACAUCAAAAGACAAUUCAAAAGCCACAAUACUGUGCUGCAAGUCUCUUCAGAAUUUCAGCAUUCAAAAUCUGGAUCAUUUCAUCAGAAUGCACCAACAUUAGAAAAUCAAUAUUUAGGAGAUGUGUUUCUUAAGGCAUCUCUGAAACGAAUCUUGCCUUCAGAGGUAUUCAAUGACGUUAGUAAAGACUUGAAAAGAUUUGGUGAGAGGGUUGCUGGAGAGAUAUAUGAAUUAGGGUAUCAUGCAGAGUUAAACCAACCCAUAUUGCAACAUUAUGAUGCGUGGGGAAGACGUGUUGAUGAGAUAAAAACAUCUCAAGAAUGGAAAAAUCUGAAAGCAAUAUCUGCAGAAGAAGGAUUGAUCUCUAUAGGAUAUGAAAAUAAACAUCAUGAGUGGAGUCGUCUGCAUCAAAUUUCAAAGCUUUAUCUGUUCAGUCCAUCAUCAGGACUCUAUUCAUGUCCUCUGGCCAUGACAGAUGGUGCUGCUAAAAUACUGAAGGAUGCUCCUGUCUCUGAAAAGGUUUUAAAAAAUGCCUACAAACAUUUGACAUCAAGAGACCCCAAGGAAUUCUGGACUUCAGGGCAGUGGAUGACUGAGCGAAAGGGAGGCUCUGAUGUUGGUGGGGGAACUGAAACUAUUGCUCAAGCACAAGAAGAUGGCACAUAUAAACUUUAUGGUUAUAAAUGGUUUUCAUCAGCAACUGAUGCUGAAAUGACUUUAACCUUGGCAAGAAUUUGUGAUAGUCAAGGUUGUACUGAAGCUGGCUCAAAAGGUCUUUCUUUAUUCUACCUUGAAACAAGAGACAUAAAAGGUGGAUUGAAUGGCAUUCAGAUUCAAAGAUUGAAGAAUAAAUUGGGAACAAGACAAUUACCAACUGCAGAGUUGUUACUUGACGGAAGUAGUUCGUUAAAGAUUUCUGAUUAUGGAAAAGGAGUAUCCAGCAUCUCUCAAAUGUUGACAAUGACAAGAAUACACAAUAGUUUAUUCUCAGUGGCUCCUAUGAGAAGGAUAUUGUCUUUUGCAAGGGACUAUGCUACCAAGCGGGUUGCGUUUCAGAAAUAUCUCAUUCAACAUCCAUUGCACAUGCGCACUCUUGCAACCAUGGAGGUUGAAACUCGGGCUGGCUUAUCCUUGGUUCUGGAAAUUGCCAGACUUCUUGGUCUACAAGAAAAUGGAAAAGCCUCAGAGAACGACGAGCUGGUGUUACGAUUGUUGACAUCUAUAACAAAACUGUACACAGCAAAACAGGCUGUGCAAGUUGUUUCUGAAGGAUUGGAGUGCUUUGGUGGUCAGGGAUAUAUUGAAGAUACUGGAUUACCAGGGUUGUUAAGGGAUGUACAGGUAUUGCCAAUUUGGGAAGGAACAACGAAUAUUUUAUCCCUGGAUGUUUUACGCGCUAUCACAAAAUCAAAGGGAAUGGUGAUCAAUGCUUUUUGUGACAUUGUAAUGAAGAAAAUAUCUGAUGCACGUGCUCAAUCACGUGGCAAUCUCAGUGGUGUUUGUGAUAUCGUUGAGAAGAAUCUAAGGAAGACUGUGGAAUUUUUACAAGAAGCUGCAGAAGAAAGACCCGAGUAUCUGGAGAUAGCAGCGCGUGAUCUGGCGUAUAGCUUAGCGCGUGUGUAUGCAGGUGCCUUACUCACGGAGCAUGCGUCAUGGUCAGAAGCAGAUGAAUAUGACGUUGCGGUGGCUAAACGAUGGUGCUUACAAGAUCUUUCACCAGUCUCCCAUUGUCACGUGUCAGAUGGUUACAGCUCUGGAGAAACGUCUGUAGAUUAUGAAAUUACAAUGAAAGGUCAUCCGCAAUACGAGUGAAAUUUUGCUACAUUCUGCAAGAGUUCAAAUGUGGUAUCAGCUGUGCAAGAGAAAGGUUAGGCAAUGGAUUUGAAGAAAUGGUUUGUUCUCAAUGAAGACGAAAUAUAUUUGCAUAUCGAGACGAAAUCGUCAGACUGGCCAUUGUUGAUUAUUAUCAUUGUCAAUAAAUUAACGUGAUAAAGAUUUAUCAUAUAUAUUUUAGAUGGUGUAGUAAAUA